UUGGACUCAACCCAAGACUACCAAGAGAAAUGUGUUUCUAAAGAGUUUGGUUUCGCUGCCCACGAUGAAGAGUGAAGAUAUUUCCUUCAGAGCAGGAAUCUGGUGGAAAGACUCUGUUUCUUCUCCACUGUUGAUGAUUGUUCAGUGUUUCUGACUGAGACACUGAUGGAGGAAACAUGUUCUGAGUGGU
rnacentral:snoRNA from 1 species